rnacentral:lncRNA from 1 species
GCCUGAUGCCGCAACAUGACUCUAUUUUAUUUGCUCUUGUUGCUGCUUAUUGCUCUCUGCAGCCUCUAGCCUCCCGGCUCUUGCAUCUUGCCACAAGCCCCACUCUGGCUACCUCCGAAGACAAUCAAACCGAGACUGCACCACAAUUUGAGUUCAGAGUCCCGGGGUCAAGCCACUGCUAGCUACUGAAUUUAACCGACAAAUUUGUAGCCAAAAACUG